AUUAAUAACACGUGGUAUUAUAAAAUUCGAUAAUAACAAAGUUAUGAAACAAAAAAACAGUUGUUUAUUUCUAGUAAGAAUUGUCAUCAGGCAUAAUUGGUAUCUACGUGAAUCUGCAAUACCGACAUCAGGUACAGGGGAGCUAAUUAAGCGUCGAAUCCUCAUUUACCUCGGAAAUUCCAAAAAUUAAGGGAAGUCCAACAAAUAAUACAAGUUCAGCGAGGAAGACCCAGAAUAAGAACCUGUUUUGCAGGAUGCCAAUGCUCUACCGACGACCAACGUUCAUCGUACAUCGAUCGUUAAUGAUUUAUUACAGAGUAACUCGUUUCCUCAUAAAUUUGUUAUAAUGCACAACCAUGCAUCCAGCAAAAAUCGUCUUACAAUCGAAGGGUUAAUGAACAAAAAGAAUGAUUUCUCGUGCCAGGGCACGUGGCAAACGGUAGCGAAAGGAGCGGAAACGGAAAUAGUAAUACAGCACCUCGCUAGACAUCUGCUUACCCUUAUGAAAUUAUCUCGAGAGAUUUUUCAAGGGGUCCCGGUGUUCCAAAUGGGGAUACUUUUCACGACAAAGAACUACCGUGGAAAAACCCGACUGCACGGAAGUAUGUGAUUGUAGGCCAUGUGGCGACCAGAACUUUUCAGGAUCAGAAACGUCUCGUCGCAUCUGGGCACUCGAACGCACGCUGCGUGUACCCUCGUGUCGCUGGACCACCGGAAGUGAAAAGAGGAAAACCUUUCUUCAAAUGUUAUCGCGAUGUAUUGUCUUUCCAUCUAGUUCCGUUAGCGAAACAAGAAGGAAUGUUUUGAACUUUCAGCCUUUUUUUCAAUUUGUAACAGAUGAUCGAAAAGACUUUGU